UAGGGAAUUUUCGUCAAUGGGCGCAAGCCUGAACGAGCAAUGCCGCGUGAACGAGGAAGGUCUUCGGAUCGUAAAAGUUCUGUUGAGAGGGAAAAAGGGUCACCAGAGGAAAUGCUGGUGAAGUGAUAUUACCUUUCGAGGAAGUCACGGCUAACUACGUGCC
rnacentral:rRNA from 1 species